rnacentral:rRNA from 1 species
UGGGGAAAUUUUGGACUAUGGGCGCAGCCUGAUCCAGCCAUUCCGCGUGAGUGAAGAAUGUCUUCGGGUUGUAAAGCUCUUUCGCAGGGAAGAAACGAUUUAGGUGAAUAUCUAAGUUAUGACCGUGACCUUGAUAAGAUGCACCGGCUAACUACGUGC